rnacentral:rRNA from 1 species
AGAGUUUGAUCCUGGCUCAGAACGAACGCUGGCGGCGUGGAUUAGGCAUGCAAGUCGAACGAUGUCGAUAGCAAUAUCUUCAUAGUGGCGAAAGGGUGAGUAACACGUGGGUAAUUUACCUUUAGGCUCGGAAUAACACCUCGAAAGAGGUGCUAAUACUGGAUGUGGUAUUUGUUACAUAAGUAACGAAUACGAAAGGCAGGGACCUGAAUAAGGCCUGUCACCUUUAGAUAAGCCCGCGUCCUAUCAGCUUGUUGGUGAGGUAAUGGCUCACCAAGGCAUUUGACGGGUAGCUGGUCUGAGAGGAUGGUCAGCCACACUGGGACUGAGACACUGCCCAGACUCCUACGGGAGGCUGCAGUCGAGAAUCUUUCGCAAUGGGGGAAACCCUGACGAAGCGACGCCGCGUGAGCGAUGAAGGCCUUCGGGUUGUAAAGCUCUGUCACGUAGGACGAUUACUAGAGAUCUAAUAUAUCUCUGGAAAGACUGUACUGCGAGAGGAAGCCACGGCUAACUCCGUGCCAGCAGCCGCGGUAAUACGGAGGUGGCAAGCGUUGUUCGGAUUCAUUGGGUGUAAAGGGCAUGUAGGCGGCCCUGUAAGUCGGACGUGAAAUCCCUUGGCUCAACCAAGGAACUGCAUCCGAUACUGCGGGGCUUUGAGUGCAGGAGAGGAGAACGGAAUUCCCGGUGUAAGAGUGAAAUCUGUAGAGAUCGGGAGGAACACCAGUGGCGAAGGCGGUUCUCUGGACUGCAACUGACGCUGAAGUGCGAAAGCUAGGGGAGCGAACAGGAUUAGAUACCCUGGUAGUCCUAGCUGUAAACGAUGGGUACUAGGUGUAGGCAUGAAAGUGUCUGUGCCGCAGUUAACACGUUAAGUACCCCACCUGGGGACUACGACCGCAAGGUUAAAACUCAAAGGAAUUGACGGGGACCCGCACAAGCGGUGGAGCAUGUGGUUUAAUACGACGCUACGCGUGGAACCUUACCAGGACUUGACAUGUACCUGAAAGCCUGCUGAAAGGCAGGGCCUCCUCACGGACAGGUACACAGGUGUUGCAUGGCUGUCGUCAGCUCGUGUCGUGAGAUGUUGGGUUAAGUCCCGCAACGAGCGCAACCAUUGUUUUUAGUUGCCACUCUUGAGGCGAAAGCUGAAAGAAGCACUCUAGGGAGACUGCCUGUGUUUAACAGGAGGAAGGUGGAGAUGACGUCAAGUCAGUAUGGCCCUUACGUCCUGGGCUACACACGUGCUACAAUGGCUGGUACAAAGGGGAGCAAGACCGCAAGGUGGAGCAAAUCCCAAAAAGCCAGCCUCAGUUCGGAUUGGGGGCUGCAAUUCGCCCUCAUGAAGUUGGAAUCGCUAGUAACCGCGCAUCAGCCACGGUGCGGUGAAUACGUUCCCGGGUCUUGUACACACCGCCCGUCAAGCCACCUGAGUUAAGUGCACCCGAAGCCGUCAUACUAACCCGAAAGGGAGGGAGACGCCUACGGUGUGCUUGGCAAGGAGGGCUAAGUCGUAACAAGGUA